AGAAUUUCUGACCUUUGACCUAUAGUUCAUGUCUGUCAAAAAUGUAUGCUCAUUUUGAUUUCUCUUCCUCUUCUGUGGGACAAAAGUGAACUUUAAGUCGUGCCAACCUGUCUAACUGAAUGUGUUGACUGUCUAAAAGAUUCGAGUUGUUAUGGAACAGAUAGGGAAAACAAAACAAGACAUUGACGCACUAACAAGAGAGAUAAGAAAGGGAUAAAGCCAAACGAAGAGAGUGUUUUGGGCACCAUCUUCUUUUUCAUGGUGACGGGCGCGCCCGGGGGGGAAACUUUCUGUGUGCUAGACAACUCAACCCAACCAUUGUACCAUUUGAUUAUGAGUAAAAUAAAACUCUUGUGUUAAAUCUACUUUGGUUCUCAUUGACAACCUGGACUUUCCACUACAAAAUUGGCGUCACGAACUAGGAUGGUCCAGAACUCUGCAAGUCAACAUCCGCUCCCGGCUUCUCUCUCAGGCAGACAACGCUUGCACGCGCGCAUCUAAUAAAAGGAACUUCCUGAUGUUGCCUGACAGCACGACAUCAGCUGACAACUACUGGGGACGCCUCCCAGGAAUGAGUGGAAGACGGGGACUGCUCCAACUGUCCUAGCACUGGCUGACGGAGGUGCGUCCGUGUGUCCUGCCACCCAAACCGCCAAAGUGUAUGAUCACCAAUUAGACGACUCAUAAUAGGAGCCUUUUGACUCUUAUAUAUGGUGGGACUCAAGAUUAGGUCAAACAACGGCACCUAUUUUAAGAAAACAGGUUAUCAUCUUCAGUCACAAGAUCAGCACUUCUCAGGACCAGCAGCUUCCUAGAGAGGUGGAAAGACCAUGAGACCAAAAUGGUAAGUUUGCAAAAUGUAGAAUUUGUGUGCCAGUUCCUCUGUGCAGAUUUGAGGAUGAAAGCAGCCACUCCAGAUUCCCUUGCACUCGCUAAGAGGGGCACGGUCAAAGCCGAUCCAGGACCAACACCCGAUACCUGACUGGAAGGAACCGAGAGGAGAGACAACACCUUGCCAGCGAUGACGAGAACAACUAAAAAGUGGAAAGAAGUGUCGGGAGUGCCGAAGCAGCGAGGAGGCCUGAAGCAAGCCGAGGGCCUGGACCAAAGCCCCAACGCCCCAUACUUUGCCCCGCCUUCCCCAAAGCCCCAUACUUUUCCCCAAUUUCGGCCAGCACGGACAUGCCAUUAAACAGUCUGCCCAAUGGACUGAACCACACCCCAAGAACAGACAGAGACAGACUGUUUGAGUGGAUCUCUUUCUUCACCAAGGCAGCCAAAAGCCCAACGAGGUGUCGGCAGGCCACCAGCCUGAGGCACCACCGAGCCAUCCAUACGAGCACUAAUCGAACAUGGACUCAUACGAAAUUCAGUUGUGUGUACAAAAUCAAUUGGUAACUACAUUCAUUGCAAAUGCCGGGAAAAAUAAUAAUGCAACAGCUUACAGUCAUAAGUCUAUAUUAAUUCUAAACCAGAUCUUGUUUGAUUCAUUAUUAAUGUGAAAAUACAUCUUGAAUAAGCAUAUAUAUAUUCAUCUAAUUAUGUUCAUGAUCAAAGUAUUUUGUUAUUACGUUACUAACUCAAAGGGUAGGCCACUAAUUGUGUUCUGUGAGAUGGUUUUACUGCAGGCUGGUAACAGCGAUCGCUCUGAAGGAGGGUCAUAGACGGAAUUUUUGCCUCGUAUAAAAACAUUGAGGUUUUUGCCUCUAUCUGCGGUAGAGAUUUAAUUUAGUGGUCUAUAUCAGAAAUUGUUUUGGUCCAGGGUCUUAAGACCCUGGAAGGCGGGUAUGUAGUAGAAUUUCUGACCUUUGACCUAUAGUUCAUGUCUGUCAAAAAUGUAUGCUCAUUUUGAUUUCUCUUCCUCUUCUGUGGGACAAAAGUGAACUUUAAGUCGUGCCAACCUGUCUAACUGAAUGUGUUGACUGUCUAAAAGAUUCGAGUUGUUAUGGAACAGAUAGGGAAAACAAAACAAGACAUUGACGCACUAACAAGAGAGAUAAGAAAGGGAUAAAGCCAAACGAAGAGAGUGUUUUGGGCACCAUCUUCUUUUUCAUGGUGACGGGCGCGCCCGGGGGGGAAACUUUCUGUGUGCUAGACAACUCAACCCAACCAUUGUACCAUUUGAUUAUGAGUAAAAUAAAACUCUUGUGUUAAAUCUACUUUGGUUCU